rnacentral:sRNA from 1 species
UAACAUGAACGCAUAAAUUUCUUUUAAAAAUAUAAAGUUUUUUUUUUUUUAAAGUUUGAGUGGUUCUGUAAAAAAAAAUUAACCCAAUAUCAAAGAUCUUAAAUGCAAUGGUAAAAUCUGCAUGUCCAGAAAGCCCUUGUCAGAUGUUACAUGUCAUAUGUAAUAAUCUUUGAUGAAAUCCCGUCACAUAUUUUUAUAAUGUCAAUACAACUGUGUUUAUCCAUGCCUGUCAAACAUAUAUGACUAGAUAUAAUGGCAUCAUUAAAACCCCCUUUGGUUAAUUUAUUGUCAAUCAUAUUACUUGUAUUUAGGAUCAUUGUUUUAUGAUAAGUGGAUUAAUGUACAAGUUUUGUCAUGUAUUGGAUUAUAUGUUUGGAUGCUGAAUUGAAAGUAAAAUAUUUAAUUU